CCUGAGCCCUCGCCUGCCAAGGCUCGUCCAAAGCGCCCCUCGGCAGGGAGAAAUAGGCGGGCCGUGGCCUUAGAGACGCUAACAGCGUCAGUUGAAAUUGUAAACACGUCGUGGAGUUACUUCUCCACUCCAGUAAACAUCUCUCGGUUUAUUUCCCAUGCAUGUUGUGGUGCAGUCCCUUUAUGAGCAGUGCAGAGUAACAACAUAAGCCUCAUUCCCCAUCUCAGAAAAUUCUGCUUCCAUGUGAGUAUCUUUGUGGCUUAUAAAUUCAUGUGCAUGUAUCUUGCAGACAAUAGGUCUCAAAAGGCAAAGAUGAUUUAUGAGAAUUCCAUUUCCAAACAGCUAUGUUUUAGUGCAAUAUUUCAAUAAACAUACCAAGAAAAUUUCGAUAAACAAA